rnacentral:lncRNA from 1 species
GAGAAAUUUUACAACUAGAUAGACAAAUUAAGCAUGCAGAAUUGCAUUACAAGGAAACAAAAAGUCAGAGCAAGCAGGACAACUGUAAUUCUAGUAAGAUCCUCAACUAUUCAUCUUAAGUUUGACAUAAUAUGUAUUUAUUUAGAGAGGAAAAUUAAUACGAUAUCAAGCAAAAGGCACAUACCAUGGUUGAGCCAAGAAAGUACUAGACCAUGAAAUAUGAAGCUGAAAAUUCUGGAGUUUCUCCCUUUUUAUCAAUAUUAUGAAACUUUUCCAAUGUAUUGAGAAGAAAUCCCAAAUAAACCAACCAAUACAAUUGUAAAUCUCAAAACCCAAUGCAAACGCAGAGAAAACAUAUGUGAAGCUAAAGGAUGCGGAACUCGGAUGACCUCUAUAUCCGUGUUUUUUACGAAAAAAUUGCUCUCAAUUUUGCUUUAAUCUCCAUUUUUUGUUCCUUUCCCGAUCUAGCAUUUUCUUGUUUUCCCCCUCUCUUUCCUUUUUUAGCUUUUGCUUUUUGUCUUUUCUCUUCUCUUGUGACUCCCUCCCCUCCAAAUUUCGUUCCAGACCUAGAAAACGUGAAUAAGUGAAAUCAAAAUUCAAAUGUUAUAGCAACAUGAGAAACAAACUAGGAGAUAAUCACAUAUUCAAAUAAUAACAAGUGAAUAUGCUAAAAAACCAUCUAGAAUUACACAUCAAAAACUAGAUCUGAAGGCAUUUUAAGGAAUACAUACCUAGCUGCACAAAGUUCAAAUUUAGAAAAGGAAAAAGCCGAGUAAAGGCCGACAU